ensembl:lncRNA
GGCAAAUAUUAAGCUCCAAAAUGAAUAAAAUAUGCAGGUCUUCUUGCUUUUAUGGAAACAUGGCUCAAAGAACAGCACCCUUAUUCCAAUCUGGAGACUGAUUUUGGGGAACUCUAUUGCCUGGAAAAAGAUCCCACAGUGAUGGGGAAAUCGUCUUUGUGUUUACAAAGACUUGUAUAAUACAGUGAUGUUAUUAAACUUACAUUUGUAACACUACAACCCUAUUACUUACAAGUGAUUAACUGUCUCCAAGAUUGUUUUAGUUGUGCAGAUUUGUUUUUUGGUUUAUCGGUUUUAAUAUUCAUUUAGUCAGGAUUUUUUUUAUUAUUAUUUUUUUUUUUUUUAUGAUGUUCCAGAGCACAACACAGUAUAUGCUGAUAAAGACAUGGUUUUAAAACUUUUCCAGGGUGUUGGAGAAAGAAAAAGCCCUGCCCCGGGUGGUAUUGGAGGCUAUAUUGUUAAAAGUUGUGCGAAACAAUUUGCAAAUAUUUUUCAUUUCAUUUCUAGGUUGUAAUUGCACCUUCUUACGAUUCCAAAUAAUUUAAAUGGGUAUAUGCCUGUAGCACUUACCUCUCUGAUUAUGAAAUCCUUGGAGAGGAUUGUGAAAGAUGUGCUGUUGAACAUAAAACAGGCAAAUCUAGAUUCAGUUUGCCUGCAGGGCUGGCAGGGUUGUUGAUGAUGCAAUGAGUGCUCUAUUAAAUAUGAUUUUAGCACAUCUUGAAGGUGCAAAGACUUUUGUGUGGUUAGUUCUUAUUGAUUUUUCAUCAGCUUUUAACUGUAUGCAGCCUCAUAUCGCAGCAGAAAGGCUAGAGAGUGAACAUUGAUCCUGGUGUGAUAUGUUGGCUGAUGGAUUUUUUUAACUGAAAGCUCUCAACAUAUGAAGGUGGUUUUAUCUGAUGCAUUCAUUUCUACCAGGACGGUGUGUUCUUUUAUUUGUGCUUUAUACAACAGCCUGUCCCAGAUUGUCCAGCACCCCACAGGGAAAUCUCCUGGUGGAUCUCCAGAGGACCAGUCUGCCCCUGAUCUGAGCUAACUUAAAGCCUGAUUCAAUAUUGAAAACCCAAG